AAAUAGGAAUAAUGGCGUCCAAAAUUAGUUUCGCUCCCAAUCGAUGAUAUUUUCCAUAUUUCAGAGGAACCACAAUAAAAAAAUUAAUGAACUGUAAUGAAAAUAACAAACUAAUAUUUUGUCCAUGCACAUCUCUAUCGAUAAUGCCCAAUAAUACACAGUAAAAAUAGUUAUCUGGCUACUGAAGAUUGUUAAUAUGUAAUACAUGCCCAAACUCAUCAGCCUGUAGCCGCAAUUCAGAAAUAUUUUAUAUACUGAGCUGUUUCAGUUCAUAUGCAGUAGCGGAGCUGGAGGUUGAUGUAGCUAGGGUGCCCAAAAGGUAGAUCCCCAGGCGUUGUAGAACUACACUUCCCAUGAUGCUUUGCAUGCCUUUCGAAUGACAAAGCAUCAUGGAAGUUGUAGAUUUAAAACAUCUGGGGAUCUACCUUUUGGGAACCCCUGUAUUACAGUUUCCUUUGAGUCCACCAAGGGCAGGAGCUGCAGGCAUAACAAACGUGUAAUAUAUAUGGGUUGUACAUGUAUGGGUAAUGUAUGGACUAUACAUUCAUUUUUUUGUGUACUACCGGUAUACUAGCUAUAACAUUACGUAACCUUGCCCAAAAUAACUCUUGUCCCCUUGCGUUGCCUGGCCAGUCCAGGUAAGUUUUCUUAUGCAACAACUUAGUCAGUCUAUGGUAACAUUGUAUCUCUUUCUUUAAAAUCUUAUCAAGGAAUAUCACCAGGAGAGAAUCUUUAUUCUCAGCUACAAGUCUGUAAGUUGCCAUUCGCAUCUCUAAUGAGCACCAGUGACUUUGUAGGUAACUAUGUGUAAUGAGGCAGAUAGUCCACCUGCUUUUAUGGAUACUGUCCACGAUAUUCUCAACUAUGUCUCUGCCAAUCUCAAAAUCCCGAUUAUGGAUGCACACCUUAAAGAAAGGGGGACCAUUUUGCUCCAAGUUGGGAAGCAACUGUUCUGUAACCCACUGUUCAUCACGAGUGUUGUAAGAGACAAACACAUCAUAAUGACAUUGGUUUUGAACCUGUCCUUUGAAUCUGUGAUUCAACCAGCACAUCACUAUAUAGAACAAAUAACAGAAAUACCAGAAAAUAAU